AGCUUUGUGAGUGGCAGUAUUGUAGCCAAUGAGGUUUAUCAGAGGCGCGAUUAUUGCUAAUUGAACUUUUCCCAAUACCCCGCCAUGAUGACUUGAAAUAUAGUCAGCAUUGGUUAAAAAAAAAAAAAGUGGUUACUU